rnacentral:lncRNA from 1 species
GCUCUUCUCGGGGAGUGGAGUGCUAUGACAGAUGAGACUUUCAUGCAAGAAAAUAAAUCCUGCACAUUUGAUGUACUGCUUUAAACUUAAAGACCUCUUUGGACCCGAAAUUGUAAGGUUAACCACCUGGGACGGUAAACUACCGAAGUCUGCUUCUGCUUCCAAAGGAGAACCGCAGUGAAAGUGGUGGACAUGUCCUACCAUCUGUAAGCUCAAGAUCCUCUAGAGAACUGCAGGAUUCAGGGUGCUCUACUGACAGUACCUGGGGCAGCCGGAUCAGGAAAGAGUUUGUCUAGCCACAGUUGUCCCUUGCAGUCAGCUACAGAAGACCCAGUGCUGUGAGAAAAUCAGACAGAAGUAUUUCCAAGACUUUCCAUGUCUGACUAACCAAGGUAAAAUCAGGAACUAACCUAACAGCUUCUGCACCAUGGCAGAAGAGUUUGCAGAAAUGUACCUGUUUUACUUUUCAAUAGAUUAUAUUUUAACACUU